UACGCCGCAACCACAAUAGAUAACUGAUCCAGGGAAGAGGAGUGCAAAUCUCCCGCUGCCCCGCAGCCGUGAUGGGCACGAAAGACCGGUGCAAGCCACUGUCAUGAGUCAUAUCAUGAUGGGAAGGCGGGCAAGCAGGUUCGAUCCCAAAGCCGGAAGACCUGUCAACAACCCACAUAAAACG
rnacentral:ncRNA from 23 species